ensembl:snRNA U2 U2 spliceosomal RNA
GUAUCUUCCUGGUCUUUUGGCUAAGAUCAAGUGUAGUAUCUGCUCUUAUCUGUUUAAUAUCUGAUAUGUCUUCUAACUGAGGAAAAUGUACUCUAUGGAUUUUUGGAGCAGGGAGUUGGAAUAGGAGCUUGCUCUGUCCACUCCAUGCAUCGACCUAGUAUUGCAGUACCUCCAGAAACUGAAAAAAAAAA